rnacentral:tRNA from 1 species
GCGUUCGUAGCUCAGGCAGGAUAGAGCAGCGGACUUCGAAUCCGUAGGUCGCACGUUCGAAUCGUGUCGGACGCA